ACGUGUUAGGAUGGGCCCGAAUGAGAUAAAGCAUAGGAAUUUCUCCCUGUGUCAUUUUCAUAACAUCUACUAGUGAGGCAGUCAGUGGAGGAGAGGCGGUUUAUUUUGAGGGACCCGUGCGAAGUUGCCAGCCAAGUGACAGAACAGAGUGGAUUCUCAAAGCGACAAAACUAAAGCACUGCUCCGAGUGCUCUGUUUGACUUUGACCGCUCAAAUACAUCUGGCGAUCCAGCUAAUGCUCCUGGGGGUAGGAGCUUUAAUCAUAAUAAUUGUAACAACGAUGCAAGGGCAAUCUAAAGUACAACACUUUUGUGUAUAGUUAUACCUAAAUAAGGCAACCGAAUAUCUGCUUGUUUCGAUCGAGGGUGUAUGAAUUAACAAAUAUGUGUAGAUGUUGCAAUAGCUUUUUUGCAUCGAACUGAGAAUGCUGACCAAUAGAUGUUGCAAAAUGUUCGUUGUUACGUGUCCUCAUUUGAGCCAUUUCAUAAAUAGGAGACUAUAACUGAUUCUGUUCCAAUACUGUCCGUAGAUAUCUUAGAGACAUAUGAUACUGUAUCACAGUAGAUAUAUUAGAGACAUAUGAUACUGUAUCACAGUAGAUAUAUUAGAGACAUAUGAUACUGUAUCACAGUAGAUAUAUUAGAGACAUAUGAUACUGUAUCACAGUAGAUAUAUUAGAGACACAGUAUAUUACUGUACAUUAUCUCAAACAGACAGUUGUAUGUCUCCGGAAAAGGGGGGGAAGCAGGACCCUUACAGAACGUAUGAAGCCUCCCGUCUGAAUCGCCCCAUUUCCAUUGGCAGAAAUCUCCAUCUGAUUAAAGGGUUAAAGGGUGGCCAUGCCACUUUUUGACAGUGGCGAUUCAACAUGGUGCCAAAGCCCCAAGCCCUUCUAAUGUGAUAGAGCGUGUCCAAGGGUCUUCCAAGACACCCAUAAAAGCAACAUCUGAAGUGCAUACUGGCCCAUCGUGGGGGAUGUCAGCAUGGGGAGGGUGGGAUUGCUGAUCUCCUGAAUGUAUUGCCUGAAAGCUAUCUAACAUGGAUGCCGUAACAGACAGCUUUGAAGUCAAAGGGAGGCUGGUGAUAUGGUACAUAGGGCACCACAUUAACACAGGAUGGCUCAGCCCACAGAAGAACGCUGUCAUUUUUCAUCAUACCCCAAAUGGAUUGGGUAUCUACAGGAUUUAUUGAAGAGCAAAACCAUUCACAAGACCUCAAGGUUUCUGUCUGUAAUGCCAAGGACAUGAAGUUAACUGUGUGGCGGAUGCUCUUACAUUGCAUUCUGUCAAACCGCCUUGCCAUUGUCACAACCUGGACUGGGGCAGAGCAUAAGGCCUGUUUCAGGGACUUGUUUCUGAAGACCAUUCUUCACAAAGCCAUUCGGAAGAACCUGCAACCCAAGAUGCCAUGGAUAAGGGGGUCCAGAUUAAGGUCACCCUUUAGCUGAAAGGGGCCUCCGAUUGUGAAGGCGGGAGAAGGCGGCGGACAGGGGAGAGGGAUCGGCUGCAGUGAAGGUCAGCAUCAAGUCUCGGACCACCAAUCUCAAAACCAGCCUCUACCCCCAAGCCACAAGACUGAUCCAACAGCUGAACCCUGGGCUGACUCCUGCACCCUACCACACACUUACCAUUUAUUCAUAUUCUGUACGCACUUAAAUUACUUUAGUCUACCAGACCAAUGAAAUAGUUAUGUCACAUAACUGCACUGUAGUUAUUCCACUAAGCACAUGGGCAAAAAAAAAAGUCCAUACUAUAUGAAUGUAGGCUAUUUUGAUUUUUAUCUUAAGGCUAUUUUGGUUUGAUCUUAUUCUUAUUUACAUCUUAUUUUCUUUGAUCUGCAUGCUUCUUUUUGCACUUGUUUUGAUUGUUUUAUUGUUAGUACGUCGCAUAGUCAAGGAACUAUGACACAUUGAUUGCAGUCAGUUUUGUUCCCAUUGCACUGUGUGAGAAGCCUAUCUAUAUUAUUAUUCGUUCAAAUGGACAUGGCAUCCAAUCUAUCUUAAAUAAUAAACGUAAAUGAAUAAAUAAGUGGAGAAAGGGAGUGAAGGGUGGGUGAAGGGCGGGUGGGCUGUGUGAGGAAAACGACACUUGAACGGCAGGAGCACGGCUGCCGCUUGACAAAGUGGCAUAUCGCGGGCGCCCCAUGAGGCGAUGGGUACUCUGGAGGGACGCCGGCCACCCGAUUGCUCAUUGCUAACUGGGUUGCAAAGUGCAAAUAAAUGUUAAUUCAGGUUAGGGGGAGUUCCCGCUUGAAUUUGAUUAAAAGGGCAGUGAAUUCGCUCAUACUUUGAGAACUUGUUAGCAAGCUCCUGACACACAUCCUUUUUCUCUCUGAGAUUAUCAUUAACAAAAGACACGUGGAACCACUUUAAGUCUCAUUUAGUUAAUAGUCAUUUGCUCUGUGUUAUUAUGUGAUGUAUCAUAUAUUUCAUGUACACUGUAAUAGUUUAGUGUCAAUUAUUUCAUGACUAAUAAAUCCU